UGCAAGUCGAACGCGCAGCGUAGAGGUGCUUGCACCUUUCAAGCGAGUGGCGAACGGGUGAGUAACACGUGGAUAACCUGCCUCAAGGCUGGGGAUAACAUUUGGAAACAGAUGCUAAUACCGAAUAAAACUUAGUAUCGCAUGAUACAAAGUUAAAAGGCGCUACGGCGUCACCUAGAGAUGGAUCCGCGGUGCAUUAGUUAGUUGGUGGGGUAAAGGCUUACCAAGACAAUGAUCGCAUAGCCGAGUUGAGAGACUGAUCGGCCACAUUGGGACUGAGACACGGCCCAAACUCCUACGGGAGGCUGCAGUAGGGAAUCUUCCACAAUGGGCGCAAGCCUGAUGGAGCAACGCCGCGUGUGUGAUGAAGGCUUUCGGGUCGUAAAGCACUGUUGUAUGGGAAGAAAUGCUAAAAUAGGGAAUGAUUUUAGUUUGACGGUACCAUACCAGAAAGGGACGGCUAAAUACGUGCCAGCAGCCGCGGUAAUACGUAUGUCCCGAGCGUUAUCCGGAUUUAUUGGGCGUAAAGCGAGCGCAGACGGUUGAUUAAGUCUGAUGUGAAAGCCCGGAGCUCAACUCCGGAAUGGCAUUGGAAACUGGUUAACUUGAGUGUUGUAGAGGUAAGUGGAACUCCAUGUGUAGCGGUGGAAUGCGUAGAUAUAUGGAAGAACACCAGUGGCGAAGGCGGCUUACUGGACAACAACUGACGUUGAGGCUCGAAAGUGUGGGUAGCAMACAGGAUUAGAUACCCUGGUAGUCCACACCGUAAACGAUGAAUACUAGGUGUUAGGAGGUUUCCGCCUCUUAGUGCCGAAGCUAACGCAUUAAGUAUUCCGCCUGGGGAGUACGACCGCAAGGUUGAAACUCAAAGGAAUUGACGGGGACCCGCACAAGCGGUGGAGCAUGUGGUUUAAUUCGAAGCAACGCGAAGAACCUUACCAGGUCUUGACAUCCUUUGAAGCUUUUAGAGA
rnacentral:rRNA from 1 species